rnacentral:misc_RNA from 1 species
UGGCUCUCGCAUCGAUGAAGAACGCAGCGAAAUGCGAUAAGUAAUGUGAAUUGCAGAAUUCAGUGAAUCAUCGAAUCUUUGAACGCACCUUGCGCCCUCUGGUUAUUCCGUUGGGCAUGCCUGUUUGAGUGUCUUGAAAUCAUCAACCAGACGGCUUUGCGGUAGUCUAGUUGGACUUGGGCGGUUUCUGCUGCUGUCAAGGUGGCUCCCCUUGAAUUCAUUGGCAGUUGGCAGAGUCUAACCGCGGCGUUGUAAUCCCUCGCCAAAGCGGGUCUGUCGGCGUAAGCCAGCCUUCCGAGGCAACCCAACCUUUGAAAUCUGACCUCAAAUCAGGUAGGACUACCCGCUGA